UUAAAUUAGACUGUUCUUUAAUAAAACUUGCACAUAGUUACUAUCAGCGUGUAUCUUUAUAGAUUUAACUAUGGCUUGGUGUCUUCCAUUGUGUUUAUUGCAUUCUCAAAACAAUAUUUUACCAACUGGUAACCGUUUUGAUUAUUUAUUUGUUGCUAUGGUUUUUGGGGAUGAACGUUUUGAGAUUAAAUGUUUCAACAAUCCACUACAAAAAAAUUAGCUCAUGCAUCUUGAGUAAUUCUUCCUGUUUUGAUCUAAAUACUGCGUUAUAUUACACCGUCUAUUAAUUAUUGAUUUAACUUAAUUAGCCAACUGGAGAAAAAGAUAACUAAACACAAGCACAGUGCCUGAAUUAAGCAUAAUAUUUUUCGGUUUAUCUCAUGCAUGUGUUCACUUCCUUCAGGUACUCACAUGUUUAAGCAGCUGUGAAUGUUGUUGUUUUGUUUUUGUUUCAUUGUUUGUUUUAUUUUUUGGUGUUGCAGUAGUUGCAGGUGCAAACCCCAGAGAUCCCUCAAACCUGAACGUGUCAAUGCUGUGACCUGAAGACCUAAAUGUGUUGCAGCCACCCCGGUUCAAAGGGGUCACGGUUCGGGCCUCCGGGGAGCUGUUCUGCUCUCCAUCUCCUCUCACGCUGGGGAGUGGAGUUCCCAAGCAUUUCCCCUGACUGUGGCUCAGAACAAUCCCACGUCGGCGCCCAAUCAGGAGAGCGGAGCAGCUCGUUUCAUCAAUGUGGACAUGACGCAUGGCCAGGACAAUAGGAGGAUACGAAGGCAUGCCGUAACGCGUAAACGCAGCCAGUUGUUUUACUGUGUAGUGGCAAUUUCCUGAAUUUUAUGGUGUAACACUUUAAAACCUCUGAAGUCAUCAAGUGUUUUGUCAUAUUGAGUAUGAUAUAAAAAAGGAAGUCAUAAAGCUGUAAAAACUA